GGCCCGGCUCUUGCUCAUGGAACAUCGACGGUAACCAAAGGCGGUUGCCCCCUUACACGACAAAGGCGUCGC
rfam:Pseudomonas pseudoalcaligenes KF707 = NBRC 110670 strain KF707 ctg10006, whole genome shotgun sequence.